UACAGAGGGUGCGAGCGUUAAUCGGAAUUACUGGGCGUAAAGGGCGCGUAGGCGGUCUUACAAGUGAGAUGUGAAAUCCCCGGGCUCAACCUGGGAACUGCAUCUUAAACUGUGAGGCUGGAGUACUGUAGAGGAUAGUGGAAUUUCCGGUGUAGCGGUGAAAUGCGUAGAGAUCGGAAGGAACACCAGUGGCGAAGGCGACUGUCUGGACAGAUACUGACGCUGAGGCGCGAAAGCGUGGGGAGCAAACAGG
rnacentral:rRNA from 1 species